AUCCAGCUGACGAGUCCCAAACAGGACGAAACGUUCGUCCUGGAU
rfam:Schistosoma margrebowiei strain Zambia genome assembly, scaffold: SMRZ_scaffold0001725